rnacentral:lncRNA from 1 species
AUUCAGAUGGUUGGUAUGAUGCUUUUACAAUAUUUACUACUCUGCACCAUCUUAGAGAUGACCAUUGUAAUCAUAAUCAUCCAGUGGGUUGUAAGAGCAUUUCAUCAUGAAAAACACACUGAAGAAAGCACUUUGCCCUCGGAAAUCUCACUGUCGGAAUCCUUGGAAAUCACACCACGCACAACUUCUAUUUCUUCAUAAUUUGCAAAGAACCAGUGUGACUCCAGUCAAGAACAAAAGAUUAAUUGUGAAUUAGCGAAGAACUCUAAUUUUUUCAAGCAGCCACAUGGAAAACGCAUUCUAAUGAAAUCCUUUCCAUUGCUCUUUUUUCUUAGUUCUUCAAUAAAGCAUGCGAUUUGAUCACAAA